AAUGUCGUAACAAGGUUUCCGUAGGUGAACCUGCGGAAGGAUCAUUAAAGAGAUAGGGUCUUCAUGGCCCGACCUCCAACCUCACUUGUCUGAUGCUAUCAUCUUCGUGGUGCUGCGGAUCCUCGGUCUCCGAGCGCACUAACCCUCGGGUUGGUGAGCGCCCGCCAGAGUCCAACCAAAUCUCUUGCAUUAAACCAGUCGUCUGAGUAUAAAAGUUUUAAUUAAAUUAAAA
rnacentral:misc_RNA from 1 species